GAAUUCGCCCUUAGAGUUUGAUCCUGGCUCAGGACGAACGCUGGCGGCGCGCCUAACACAUGCAAGUCGAACGAGAGAGAGGGAGCUUGCUUCCUCAAUCGAGUGGCGAACGGGUGAGUAACGCGUGAGGAACCUGCCUCAAAGAGGGGGACAACAGUUGGAAACGACUGCUAAUACCGCAUAAGCCCACAGGUCGGCAUCGACCAGAGGGAAAAGGAGCAAUCCGCUUUGAGAUGGCCUCGCGUCCGAUUAGCUAGUUGGUGAGAUAACAGCCCACCAAGCCGACGAUCGGUAGCCGGACUGAGAGGUUGAUCGGCCACAUUGGGACUGAGACACGGCCCAGACUCCUACGGGAGGCAGCAGUGGGGGAUAUUGCACAAUGGGGGAAACCCUGAUGCAGCGACGCCGCGUGAGGGAAGACGGUUUUCGGAUUGUAAACCUCUGUCUUUAGGGACGAAAAAAUGACGGUACCUAAGGAGGAAGCCACGGCUAACUACGUGCCAGCAGCCGCGGUAAUACGUAGGUGGCAAGCGUUGUCCGGAAUUACUGGGUGUAAAGGGAGCGUAGGCGGGGAGACAAGUUGAAUGUCUAAACUAUCGGCUUAACUGAUAGUCGCGUUCAAAACUAUCACUCUUGAGUGCAGUAGAGGUAGGCGGAAUUCCUAGUGUAGCGGUGAAAUGCGUAGAUAUUAGGAGGAACACCAGUGGCGAAGGCGGCCUACUGGGCUGUAACUGACGCUGAGGCUCGAAAGCGUGGGUAGCAAACAGGAUUAGAUACCCUGGUAGUCCACGCCGUAAACGAUGAUUACUAGGUGUGGGGGGACUGACCCCUUCCGUGCCGGAGUUAACACAAUAAGUAAUCCACCUGGGGAGUACGACCGCAAGGUUGAAACUCAAAGGAAUUGACGGGGGCCCGCACAAGCAGUGGAGUAUGUGGUUUAAUUCGAAGCAACGCGAAGAACCUUACCAGGUCUUGACAUCGAGCGACGAACCAAGAGAUUGGUUCUUCCUUCGGGACGCGAAGACAGGUGGUGCAUGGUUGUCGUCAGCUCGUGUCGUGAGAUGUUGGGUUAAGUCCCGCAACGAGCGCAACCCUUAUCAUUAGUUGCUACGCAAGAGCACUCUAAUGAGACUGCCGUUGAUAAAACGGAGGAAGGUGGGGAUGACGUCAAAUCAUCAUGCCCCUUAUGACCUGGGCUACACACGUACUACAAUGGUGAUCAAACAGAGGGAAGCAACACAGCGAUGUGAAGCAAAUCCCGAAAAAUCAUCUCAGUUCAGAUUGCAGGCUGCAACUCGCCUGCAUGAAGUCGGAAUUGCUAGUAAUCGCGGAUCAGCAUGCCGCGGUGAAUACGUUCCCGGGCCUUGUACACACCGCCCGUCA
rnacentral:rRNA from 1 species